UUCCCUACGGGGGGCUGCAGUGAGGAAUAUUGGGCAAUAGGCGCAAGCCUGACCCAGCCAUGCCGCGUGCAGGAUGAAGGCCCUAUGGGUUGUAAACUGCUUUUGUACGGGACGAAACUCCCGAUCGUGAUCGGGACUGACGGUACUGUACGAAUAAGCAUCGGCUAACUCCGUGCCAGCAGCCGCGGUAAUACGGAGGAUGCAAGCGUUAUCCGGAUUCAUUGGGUUUAAAGGGUGCGUAGGCGGGGCGGUAAGUCAGUGGUGAAAGCCUGCAGCUUAACUGUAGAAUUGCCAUUGAUACUGUCGCUCUUGAAUGCGGUUGAGGCAGGCGGAAUGUGUAAUGUAGCGGUGAAAUGCUUAGAUAUUACACAGAACACCGAUUGCGUAGGCAGCUUGCUAAACCGUGAUUGACGCUGAGGCACGAAAGCGUGGGGAGCAAACAGGAUUAGAUACCCGUGUAGUCCU
rnacentral:rRNA from 1 species